GCGCUCUGUCCCAACACCCGCCCAAGGACUAGCACCCCAGAAACCAGCAACAAAGUCCAGACAGGGGAUUUUUAACAGCGCUCCAUAGACCAGGGAUAACCAAGCACCAUCCAGACUGUCCCCUGAGGAAGGCAAAGUGCUGAAGACCAGCAGGGGACGGGAGCCCUGAGAGCAAGGCGUGGCCGAGCUGGGGGGAACUAAUCGGGCUCCAAAAUAGCACAGCCGGUUCUGCCUCGCUUCACCCGGCACAGUGUCUGGCUGCUUCUGCUUUCAGUCUGACUCAGCCUGGCGGGGGCAGGAGAGGGUGGCCUGUAUGGACGCAGGCCGCCGGACGACCACAAGCAGUGGUCCAGAACUCUCGGUGGAGCAGCUUUUCUCCCCGACUCGACACCGCCUCUCCUGCCCUGCCCAACAGUGAGUUGGCUCCAGGGAAGAGGCAAUAGGGUACCAGGGCCGAGGAGCUCCCUGUCAGGGUGCUGGCCUCAGCGAGCCAGCCCACCUGGGUGUGUCCCAGGAUGUCAGCCUUACACCUGCACUGCCUGGAAGCACUCGGACUUCUCCAGCCCGACAACCAGGAAGCCGGAGGACACUUGCCCUGAAAGCCGCCUUCUCCUCCCCUGAGGUGAAAGGGCCCUCCCAGCCACCUGCAGCUCUACCCGGGGGCCACACGCAGGUCUGAGAGGAACGCGGACGGCUUUCUCCCGGCAGCCAUUUCUACCUUUCGCCGGUCCUUAAACACAGGAGUGAGAGGCUCCAGCAGCAGACUCCCCUCAGAUGGAAGAUGCUUGAGCCCAAGCCUGAGAAAGACCCAGAAAGCCACAUCUAGCACAGGCCCACCUCAGAAGCUCCCAGUCCCUGGCCAGCUCAGCUGGGACGAGCAGGCCGCCUGCUAUACCAGUGAGUAAGGGGCAGUGCAAUGGACACGCGAAGAGACACUCCUAGUAAGCGGAGUGUCAGUGGUGGCAGAUACGCGCCUGACACCACCAGCCUGACACCACCCAGGCAUGCAAGCUGUGACCAAACAUUCUGCGAGCGGCGGUUAGGAAGAAAGGUCAAAGCUACAGCAUCUAUGUGGCGGGCCAGCCCAUCAGGGAUGUCGUAUGGUGAGCCCCAGCCCUGCCCCAGCUUCACGCUGGGGACUUUCUUACUCAGUGACUCACGGAGCCACACUGGCCUCAAACUCACUAGAGAGCUUGGGAUGACCUUGAUCUUCUGACCUCUGACCUCCACAUCCUGAGUGCUCCCUUACAGGCUUGAGACUCUAGGUUGGUUUUACACGGGGCUGGGGAUCGAACCCAGAGUUUCAAGCAUGCUAGACAAGCACUCUACUAACUGAGCCACACCCCCAGCCUGCCACUCCCCCUUUUGACUCUCCCUGCUGGCCCAGCUAGGUAGAAGGCAUAGCAGAAGGGCAGCAGGGCUGGGGUAGACAGCGGACUUGGGAGAUGCUUCACCAGGAACGAUCAGGGGUGACCUUGCAAAACAGAUCCCACAGCACCCCAUGUCUCACAAACCGCUUCUGGUUCAGAUGGGCACGAGAGGGAGGGGCACCAGAAGCUCCACUCCCCGCUGACUAAUGGGCAGUCAGAGGCAGGAUGGGCCUGGAGAAGAGGCGGCAAGAGAAAGAACGAACAGCAGCUGCCUAAAGUCAGGAGGUGAGCUUGGGGCCAGCCUGAGCUACACUGUGAGUCCCAGGAUAGCCAGAGCUACAUAGAGAGACCUGAUCUUAACAAGCAAAAUAAUAAUCACAUUUUUCCUUUUGAAGGGGGACUGCUGGCUGCAGACUAUGUGUCACCUGGCGUGGUCACACAUCUUUCUAGGUGAAAAUGGAGUACCCAGGGCUCUCUCACCUGGUGAGGCUCAGGAAAGGCCCAGCCAGUGUCUGUCAGGGAGGCAGCAAACACGAAGGGAGAUCCAUCCUACCUGCUUCCUAUUCCAGACUCUCCAUCCCUGUUAGACGUGUGGCAUGGUGACUGACCCAGAGGGAGGAGCCGCCUUGGACACAGACCAAAGGGAGCUGUGGGAAGAGGGUGGGCUGACCUCCAGGCUGAGUUUGCUAAGUCCAGCAGGAGCUGCUGAGGGUCCAGCCACCUCUGGCCUGUAAGCACUACCAUAGCAGCCAGAGGUAGUGUGGCAUUAGCAUCCCGCCCAGUGACCCCACACACACACCCUAGCCAAAAUCCAGGAGCCCCCUGUAAUCUCAGAGCAUGAUCCAAGCCCCCUGAACCACCGCCUCCCCGCCCCUCCCCCAUGAGAAUGAGCCAACAGCACACCUCCACAAUGGACAUUUUAUCAGCUUCCUGCCUUUCCAGGACUCAUGGACCCUACUUUUCCAGGUAGUCCCUGGGAAACUUCCCAAAUAAACUAUUUCCAGAUGCAUUCUUUUGUCAGCCAGUAGGAAUCUGGACUGAAACGGAGCCGCUAGCUCUAGAGCUGCGAAGGGCCAGCUGCGGAUGAGCCGGUGACAGAUGACCUCCCUGUGGGGACCUGGGAAGCAAGAAUGUAAGACUCAGUAACUGGGAAAAAAGGCGGCCAAAGCCGUGGCCAGAUGUGGACCUUGAACUUCCUGACCUAUGGGCAGGUUCCUGGUGUACGAAAUGAAAAUAACCUCCAUCCUGGAGAGUUUCUGUAUGGGUCAAGCGUAACGGAUAUAAUCCGGCAUCUGGAAGACUGAGUGUGCAACAAGCCUUGAGAGAUGAACACCAGUCCUUCAUGGACGGAUGGAACAAGUGGGCACGUGGGCUCUCGGGUCCUGUCUGCGCACCACGCACUUCUCCAGACUGCCUCACAUGGUCCCUGGUCCUGAACUGACUGUGUGAUCUGACUGCAUGGCCGUUGCCCCCACCCUGGCCCGUGCAAACAUCACUCCACCACUCGCUGGGGAUGUGCUUCUUCACGGGACCUUCUCAGUAAGAAGUGGGGUAAAGAAGUCAAUGGAGAAACCGAGGCACGGAGAAGUUCCUGUCCAGUUCCUAAAUUCUCUUUCAUUUUAUGCAUGUGUCUUUUGCUGGUGUGCAUGUGUGUGACCACAUGAGUGCCCAGAGCCUGUGGGGAUGAGAAGAGGGUGUUGGAACCUCUAGAACUGGAAUAAGAGCUGGCUGUGAGCCAUCAUAUGAGUAUUAGGAAUCGAACCUGGGUUCUCGCAACAGCAACAAGUGCUUCUAACUGCCGA